ACUAGGCAGGCGCCCAUCCUACUGGCUCCUUCCAUUUGUUGCCCCACUGGCUGAAUUUCCAUUAAUUGACUCCCGCAUACAUAUUGAGCGUACAGGUAGAAUACGUUGCUAGUAUAUGUAGGAAGCAGGCGCUUGAUCAGUAUUUAGGAGGCGUCCAAAACAAAUCUCUCUGUGAAACUGGACCGGCCCUGGGAUCUUGCACUGGGGAAUUGAGUAAAUGACAUAUGGGAAGUACGACUGCCCGAGCACAUACUUGGGGUAGGGAUAAAUCCAGGCAAGAGGUCAGAUGACCAGUCACAUAACUGGAACCUCCUCCCCCUCUUCCCCUUUUCUGAUUUUUAUUGUUUUGUUUUGAGAGGGAGACUAGCAGCUUGCCAUUGCGUUCCAUUCCAUUGGUUGACGCCAGGAACAGAGAACAAGAGAGAGCGGUUUGCUAAGCCAAGAAGCCGCCGCUGGCCGCUUGCUUGCGACUGCUACUUCCCCCGAACCACCGAAGUCCGAACUUUAGGCGAAUUGGAUCAGAUGAGACCAAGGUACUGUCGGGGUGAGACUGGCCAGAGAGCAAGAGUGCACAGGCUGAAAGCUACUUGAGGACAAGAACUGAUGGGGAAAUUGAGGUAAACAGGAUGAAGUGAUUUGUCCAGGACCAUACAACUAAUACAUUUCUAACGACAGAUUUGAACUCAGGAAGAUGCCUUCUAGACUCUAUCCACGUUGCCACCUAACUGUUCAAACUGACACAGGAAAGAAACUGAGGCCCAGUGUGGAAAAAAGAAAUCACCUAAAUUCAUAUGAAUCAGUGGCAGAUUUGGGACAACAUCCCACAAAUGGACCUCUAGCCUAGUUCUUUCUCCAUUUCCAAGUUUGCAUAAGGGACCAAAUUUGAGUUACUUCUGGAUUUUGAUGGGAAAAGGCUAUGUAAUGAGUCUCUGAACAUGAUGGUUUCAAAGGACAAGUGAACAAAUCAUCAUCCCAAUCUGGAAAUCAGAAUCCAGUCCAUAUUUACAAUUAAUGCUGCAUUGAUGCCAGUGAGCAGUCUUUGUAUUAGCAGAAGGAUUCAUUCAUCAGCAAUCCCAACUUUGGCCGUGAAUUUGGCAGGAUUAAUGGUACAUAGUAACGGAGUUGAUUUCCGAGCUUUAUUUUUCUCCCCAUACCACCCUCUACUGACUAAGGUAGUAUGGUAAGGAUUCUCAGAAAUACAAUGAUCCAAGACAAUUCCAAAGGGCUCAUGAUGAAAAUGUUAUCUACAUGCAGAUAAAGAAUUGGAUGGAGUGUGUAUAUGUUUGUUCUUUCUAUGUCUUUGAAAUAAAUAUCCUCUUAUAAAAGUUACCCAGUGUUAAAUGGUUGAAUGGAAUGGGGGUGUUAGUCAUUAGUCUCUUUAAAAUCAAGGGAACAUAGUGGAGGCUUGAGCUAAUAUCAGUAGAGAAGAGACAUUCACAAAUCCUUCCAUGUAUUCUGAAGAUUGAAGGGAAAUAUAGUCCUGAGAGAGUUGAACUUUACUGUUCAUAUUAUGUGAGCAUCGGUCAGAGACUAUUAUUCCUGAGAAUGAAAAUGGAGAGGCGAUGGUAAUAACCUGAUGAAUAACCAUAAAUUCAAGAGUUUCCAGUUUUUAGAGUUCCUUAAGAAUCUGACAUUGGCCUCUCAGAGAGAGAGAACUUCUCAAUAAUGUAUAAUAUCAAAAGGAAGAGAACUGAACCAGAGAUGAAAGAUUUAAAAACUAUACCAAGAGAAACUAGCAUAUCCUGACCUGGCUAAUCUUCCAUGACAUUUCUGUGAAUUGUUCAGAUGGUGCUGGUGUGAGACUGAUAAGAAAUAUUUGUUCAAUAGUCACAAUGGUUUGUUGCCUUCAGAGGGGCACCUAAAUGAAUUUGGUGCUCUACCUGAGUGAUUCAUGCUUAUGUAUUUAUUCAUGGUGUCUCAGGUGGGGUGGGGUUCCUUUGUAUAUCUUAAACAUUUUUUGUGGUGGAGAAAAUAAAAGUUAUUGUAUACUUAGCAUUCAUAUUGUACAUUGAGUGCCUGGGGCAGGGAUACAGACUAUUUUCACUUUUGGGGAACCCUAAACCUAAAGCAUUUUUGUUAU